rnacentral:rRNA from 4 species
UUGACCUCGGAUCAGGUAGGAUUACCCGCUGAACUUAA